rnacentral:rRNA from 1 species
UUGCGUAGGUGGCAUAGUAAGUAGGUAGUGAAAGCGUGUGGCUCAACCAUACUCACAUUAUCUAAACUACUAAGCUAGAGUACAUGAGAGGUAGUUGGAAUUCCUAGUGUAGGAGUGAAAUCCGUAGAUAUUAGGAGGAACACCAAUGGCGUAGGCAGACUACUGGCAUGUUACUGACACUGAGGUGCGAAAGCGUGGGGAGCAACA